AUUGAACGCUGGCGGCAGGCUUAACACAUGCAAGUCGAGCGGGGGAAGGUAGCUUGCUACCGGACCUAGCGGCGGACGGGUGAGUAAUGCUUAGGAAUCUGCCUAUUAGUGGGGGACAACAUCUCGAAAGGGAUGCUAAUACCGCAUACGUCCUACGGGAGAAAGCAGGGGAUCUUCGGACCUUGCGCUAAUAGAUGAGCCUAAGUCGGAUUAGCUAGUUGGUGGGGUAAAGGCCGACCAAGGCGACGAUCUGUAGAGGGUCUGAGAGGAUGAGCGGCCAAACUGGGACUGAGACAAGGACCAGACUCCUACGGGAGGCAGCAGUGGGGAAUAUUGGACAAUGGGGGGAGCCCUGAUCCAGCCAUGACGCGUGUGUGAAGAAGGCCUUAUGGUUGUAAAGCACUUUAAGCGAGGAGGAGGCUACUUUAGUUAAUACCUAGAGAUAGUGGACGUUACUCGCAGAAUAAGCACCGGCUAACUCUGUGCCAGCCGCCGCCGUAA
rnacentral:rRNA from 1 species